rnacentral:rRNA from 1 species
CCUACGGGUGGCUGCAGUAAGGAAUAUUGGUCAAUGGAGGCAACUCUGAACCAGCCAUGCCGCGUGCAGGAUGACUGCCCUAUGGGUUGUAAACUGCUUUUGUACGGGAAUAAACGAUCUUUCGUGAAAGAUUUUGAAUGUACCGUAAGAAUAAGGAUCGGCUAACUCCGUGCCAGCAGCCGCGGUAAUACGGAGGAUCCAAGCGUUAUCCGGAUUUAUUGGGUUUAAAGGGAGCGUAGGCGGCUUUUUAAGUCAGGGGUGAAAGACGGUGGCUC